rnacentral:misc_RNA from 1 species
GCUUGAAGUACGCCAGGCCGUUCUGCUUGAUGCCGUACACGUGCGUCAUCAGGAAGACCGUGCCCGACAGCGCCAGGUUGGUCUUCAGCGUGUCGGUCGGCGGCGCGAACCCGGGCAACAGCGCCAGCGCGUUCGAGAAGAAGAUGAAGAACGCAG